rnacentral:rRNA from 1 species
UACGUAGGGGGCAAGCGUUGUCCGGAAUCAUUGGGCGUAGAGCGCGUGUAGGCGGUUCGGUAAGUCGGCUGUGAAAGUCCAGGGCUCAACCCUGGGAUGCCGGUGGAUACUGUCGGGCUCGAGUCCGGAAGAGGCGAGUGGAAUUCCGGGUGUAGCGGUGGAAUGCGUAGAGAUCCGGAAGAACACCGGUGGCGAAGGCGGUCUGCUGGGGUGAUGCUGACACUGAUGCGCGACAGCGUGGGGAGCAAACAGG